rnacentral:rRNA from 1 species
GAUAAACGCUGGCGGCGUGCCUUACGCAUGCAAGUCGAACGGCCGGCUUCGGCCGGCAGUGGCGGACGGGUGAGUAACACGUACGUGACCUGACCUCCAGCGGGGGAUACCCGUCCGAAAGGGCGGCUAAUACCGCAUGGGUGCCGCGGGGAUGCCCGCGGCGUAAAGGGCUUCGGCUCACUGGGGGAGGGGCGGUGCGGCCGAUUAGCUGGUUGGUGGGGUAACGGCCUACCAAGGCGACGAUCGGUAGCUGGGCUGGAGAGGCCGGACAGCCACACUGGGACUGAGACACGGCCCAGACUCCUACGGGAGGCAGCAGCGAGGAUUUUGCGCAAUGGGCGAAAGGCCUGACGCAGCAACGCCGCGUGGGUGAUGAAGGCCUU